UUCCCCUUCGGGGGACAAAGUGACAGGUGGUGCAUGGUUGUCGUCAGCUCGUGUCGUGAGAUGUUGGGUUAAGUCCCGCAACGAGCGCAACCCUUAAGCUUAGUUGCCAUCAUUAAGUUGGGCACUCUAAGUUGACUGCCGGUGACAAACCGGAGGAAGGUGGGGAUGACGUCAAAUCAUCAUGCCCCUUAUGAUUUGGGCUACACACGUGCUACAAUGGACAAUACAAAGGGCAGCGAAACCGCGAGGUCAAGCAAAUCCCAUAAAGUUGUUCUCAGUUCGGAUUGUAGUCUGCAACUCGACUACAUGAAGCUGGAAUCGCUAGUAAUCGUAGAUCAGCAUGCUACGGUGAAUACGUUCCCGGGUCUUGUACACACCGCCCGUCACACCACGAGAGUUUGUAACACCCGAAGCCGGUGGAGUAACCUUUUAGGAGCUAGCCGUCGAAGGUGGGACAAAUGAUUGGGGUGAAGUCGUAACAAGGUAGCCGUAUCGGAAGGUGCGGCUGGAUCACCUCCUUUCU
rnacentral:rRNA from 2 species